CCCUAGCACUCGCCGGUCCACUUGUCUCCUUACCUUCUUACUAGCAGGCAGAAGCUCCUGGUAUAUAGUCUGGGACAGAGAAAAGCUGUAUGUAGUGAGUGUAGAAGAAAGGGAACACGCCACAGUGUUAGAGAGACCAAAGUCAGCAUUACCUUAAAGGAUCACUAUAGGGUCGGGAACACAAACAUGAAUUCAUGACCCUAUAGUGUUAACACCACCAUCUAGCCCCCCUGGGCCCCUCAUGCCACCAUAAAUAUAGCAAAAUCUUACUGUAUUCAAGCCUGAAGUUGUAACUCUGCAUGCUGUUAGACUCAGAAAAACAAGCAGCCUGCUGACAUCAUUAGAAGUGAUGUCCUAAUCCAAUCACAGUGCUUCCCCAUAGGAUUGGCUGAGACUGACAAAGAG